rnacentral:tRNA from 1 species
GACUUUUUAGUGAAAUUAUCAUAUGAGUUUUUCAUACUCAAGUUCAACAAAGUUGAAUGAAUCA